CAAAGGUAGCAUAAUCAUUAGAGGUUUAAUUGGAAUCUGGUAUGAAGGGUUGGACAAAGGAAAAACUGUCUUUAUAGUAUGGCUUGAAAUUUACUUUUGGGUGAAAAGGCCUAAAUAUUUUAAAGGGACGAUAAGACCCUAUAAAUCUUUAUAAAUAAUUUAAAUUUGAUUAAUUCAAGAUUUAAAGGUUAAAUUUAAUUAUUUUAUUUCGUUGGGGUGAUGUGAGUAUAAUUAUUAUUAACUGCUUAAGUGUAUAUUCUGUUGUAUAAGAGUUAUUGGUAUAUGAUCCUUUUUAAAGAUUAAAAGACUAAGUUACUUUAGGGAUAACAGCGUUAUUUCUUUUAAGAGUUCAUAUCGAAAAAGAAGAUUGCGACCUCGAUGUUGAAUUAAAAUAUCUAUAUAAUGCAGUCGUUAUAAAAGAGGGUCUGUUCGACCUUUAAAUUUUUACAUGAUUUGAGUU
rnacentral:rRNA from 1 species